AUUGAACGCUGGCGGCAUGCUUUACACAUGCAAGUCGAACGGUAACAGGCCGCAAGGUGCUGACGAGUGGCGAACGGGUGAGUAAUGCAUCGGAACGUGCCCAGUCGUGGGGGAUAACUACUCGAAAGAGUAGCUAAUACCUCAUACGAUCUAUGGAUGAAAGCGGGGGACCGUAAGGCUUCGCGCGAUUGGAGCGGCCGCUUUCGGAUUAGGUAGUUGGUGGGGUAAAGGCUCACCAAGCCAACGAUUUGUAGCUGGUCUGAGAGGACGACCCGCCACACUGGGACUGAGACACGGCCCAGACUCCUACGGGAGGCAGCAGUGGGGAAUUUUGGGCAAUGGGCGCAAGCCUGAUCCAGCAAUGCCGCGUGCAGGAAGAAGGCCUUCGGGUUGUAAAAUGCUUUUGUACGGAACGAAACGGCUCUGGUUAAUACCCGGGGCUAAUGACGGUACCGUAAGAAUAAGCACCGGCUAACUACGUG
rnacentral:rRNA from 1 species